GACGAACGCUGGCGGCGUGCCUAAUACAUGCAAGUCGAACGCAGUGGGGACGGGUGAGUAACACGUGGGUAACCUCCCAUCAGAGGGGAUAACACUUGGAAACAGGUGCUAAACCGAUACUGAUGGAUGAACCCGCGGUGCAUUGGCUAGUUGGUGAGGUAAUGGCUCACCAAGGCCACGAUGAACAGUCGACCUGAGAGGGGGUUAGGCCACACUGUGACUGAGACACGGCCCAGACUCCUACGGGUGGCAGCAGUAGGGAAUCUUAGGCAAUGGACGAAAGUCUGACCGAGCAACUCGGCGUGAGUGAAGAAGGUUUUCGGAUCGUAAAACUCUGUUUUUAGAGAAGCGGUAUCUAACCAGAAAGCCACGGCUAACUACGUGCCAGCAGCCGCGGUAAUUC
rnacentral:rRNA from 1 species